AAAGACUGGGAACAGGCAGAGCAUGGAUGGAGCUAUUAAUGGAAAUAUCUGUUUUGGCUCCACCCAUGCACUGCCUCUUCCCUGGCUU
rnacentral:sRNA from 1 species